rnacentral:lncRNA from 1 species
CUGCGGGGUAUUGAAUUUGAGGCUGCUCUCAGCAUUACUGCUCAUCUCAAAGAGGAACAAAUGGUCCCCCAAAUGGUCCAGAUGCAACAGUAGGGAAAGGAGUGCCACCAUUCAUUCUGAGGUGCCUGGGCCAUACUCUGGAUGAAGCUCACAGCUCUAACGUAAGGCGGCUGGAGUGCAGGUGAUCAUAUCUACAAAGGUGACAAGAACAUGAACCUGCAGUCCUGUUAUCAGCAUUUUGUCUCUGUGUUCCAGAUUUUUUUUUGUAACUAUGAAAUCCUUGCCUUGUAGUCAACUUAAAAUGAAAUAAA